rnacentral:lncRNA from 1 species
GUUUUCUGUUUGCUCAGAACAAAGGGGGGGAAGCAGACGGACAAGGAGGGGGCAGGCGCUGUCCUUUCAGCACCAUGGUGAGCCGCAGAUACUCCGGCUACUUGGCAGACGAUGAAAGUUUCCGGGGAGCUCGGGCGAGGAACCUCGAUGGCAGCCCGAGGCAAGAGGCCUGCCAUUGGAGGAACCUCCUGAGACCGCCUUCACACAGCCCUGGCCACACCCAGGGCGCCUCCUCCCCGCCUUCGGGCCGCAGCACUUUCACGGCCGCGAGCAAGAAGAAACCCAAGCCACGGGAGAGCAGUGUGGGCGAAAGAAGCCACCUGUCGGAGGAAUUCUCGGAGUUUGUCGACUUCCUGGCCGACGAGGAUGUCCUGGACAGCCUCCAGAGGAUCAUGGAGGACGCGGUCCGGAAGCUGCGCGAGGUCACAACGGAGAGCGGGGAGCACCUCUUCGACGUCCAGGAGGAUUCGGAUUCGAGCCUGGAGAGCGAGUCGUGGUCUUUCACCUACAGCCACAGCUCCAACCAGUCGCGGGCGAAGUACCAGACCACCACGACGUCCAGCUCCGAGGAGGACUGGGAAGACCAGUUCAAGAGCGGCCUGCAGCCCCCGCGGGAGCACAGAGUGUGCCUCUUGGAUAAGUUCGUGGCCAGGCUGCCGAGGCUGGACAGCAGGCCCGUGGAGGGGGUGUCCGGAGGAUUCCAUGCGGAGACUUUUUCACAACGAUCAGGGGACAGUUAUUAUUUCCGGCGAGAACAUUUCCAUAUUUGGGCCAAACUGGCAGAGUCUUUCCAUAAACUACAGCCACCCAAAAAAGACUAUUUUGCAAAAUUUAGAGAAGGGAUCCCGAGGCAAUCACUUUCCAUAGAAUCCCUUCAGAAGGAAAUCACGAGCGUCUUGAAACACCCGACACCCAGCAGUAUCCCUCUGUAUUAUCCAGGGCGCCAACCUUUCGACGCUCUGGAUUUCUUGGAAGAAAGCAAAAUCCUAGCGGCUCUGCAGGACAUUAUCAACCAAGCUGUGCUCCAAGUGCUGGAAGCAACCACGGCAGACGGAGCCCCUCUGCUGAACCUUUUCGACGAGCACGGAAAUGUUCUGAUACCCUGGGAUUUUUCAAUGAUAGGCAGUGACGAAGAGGAAGAAGAAGAGGAAGAAGAAGAGGGCGAAAGUGGUUCAGGGGGCUCCGGGAGCGGGGAUGAAUCCUCUGAGGGCGACUCUAAAUCUGAAGAAGGAAAGGGGCGGAAGAAAAAGAAGAAGAAGAAGAAAGGGAAGAAGAAGAAAAAGGCCAAGGUGGACUCACAGGGGGAAGAGAAAGGCAGGGUGAAAUACACGCCACCACCGCUUCCCAGAAGCAGGCAGAAGUCCCUUGUGUCGGAGGAAACGCAGCGCAAGCCCAAGUAUGUCCCACCACCCCUGCCUAAAACGAAGCCCAGGGCACCACCUGAGGAACCACCACCCAAACAAAAGUACGUUCCGCCCCCGCUUCUGAAGCCAAAGCAGAAGAAACCAGAUUCAACCCAGACGGUCGCCGAGUUGACCAAAGAGCCUGUUCUUGCAAGGCAGAUCAUCAGACCCAAAGACAUCAAGCGCGCUCGCCUGCAGGCCAAGCCGCUCCCCAAGGAAUCCAUGAUUGACUUUUUGAUCGAAAACGCGGCCAAGCUGAUCCUGUACAAGUAUAACUACGANACUCUCCUUUCGGAGAGGCUGGGCUUCAUCUCGGUCCCCGUGACGAAGGUCCUCCUGGAGAUCAUGUACGGUUACAAGAGCAUCAAAGGCAGCGCCAUUCGGCUGUCCUCCCAAAUCGACUGGGCCAAGGUCAACGAAGAGCUCUACGGGCCCCGUCCGCCCCGCCCGCCGCGGCCCAAGACCCCGAAACGCAAAGCGGGGGACAAAAAGAAAGCUCUGAAGAAGAAGAAGAAGGAGGAGGAGAAAGCCAAGGAGAAACCGAAAUCGUCCAAGGGGAAAAAGAGUGUUUUCUUUAAGUCCGAAAUGCCGAGCGGAAAGGUCAUCAUCAUGAAAACGGCCGUCGAGUCCAGUGUCGAGUCGAGCCGGACCGAAGGCAAGGACUCGGCCGCAGACCAGGAGGACAGUCAAGGCCCCGAGAUUUUUGAGAUNGUUCCUCCAAAAUAUCCCACAGAGGCUGAGGCGGAUGAGGUUUCGAUGGAGGGUGAGGACUACUCAAGCCGGUUGCAAACCCCUAAAGGAUCGGNGGGCGCCAUUUCUAUUACCCCCAGGAGAUCCCUUGUUUCCGAAGUGAGCCCUUCCAAAACCUCCGAGGCUCCUCAGGAUACUGAGGCGCCGUUGCCCAGCGUGGGCCCGAAGCAAUCCCUGUCUUCUCGAAGGGUGAGCUUAGCCCCCGGGAGCAACAAAGGGUCCACAAACGCUUUGCCGGAAGUAGCGCCCUCGGCCCAGCCGUCUGGGGAAGCCCUGAAGACCGCCCCAUCGUCCCGGAAGUCCAGCUUUGGCGGGGAGGGUAGCAAAACUGUUUUGCCCAAAAUCCCCGACUGA